CCCCCGCACUCCCUCCCUCCCCCCAUCUCUGAGGAGCCCUGUCGAAAGGUAGGUCACAUGACCUCCUCCUGUCACAUGACCAGCCGGUGUCUGUCCCGUGGGUCUGACCGGUGUUCCCUCGUCAGGUGACCCGGCCCCUGAGCUCUGCCGAGGAGACCCCGUCGAACCCCCGGAGAGGAGGUGAGCUUCAGAGAGGAGGACUGGGGUACUUUAGAGAGUAGUACUGGGGUACUUUAGAGAGUAGUACUGGGGUACUUUAGAGAGUAGGACUGGGGUACUUUAGAGAGUAGUACUGGGGUACUUUAGAGAGUAGGACUGGGGUACUUUAGAGAGUAGUACUGGGGUACUUUAGAGUAGAGGACUGGGGUACUUUAGAGAGGAGGACUGGGGUACUUUAGAGAGGAGGACUGGGGUACUUUAGAGAGGAGGACUGGGGUACUUUAGAGAGGAGGACUGGGAUACUUUAGAGGAGGACUGGGGUACUUUAGAGAGGAGGACUGGGGUACUUUAGAGAGGAGGACUGGGGUACUUUAGAGAGGAGUACUGUGGUACCAGGUCUACUGUAGUACUUUAGAGAUUUAGCCUGGACGUCUCAGGUCCGGCCAAUCACAUCGUGGAUAGUCGGUGGGCGGGUUUACCAUAAGGACGACUGAGUUACCACGGCCCCUUGUGAAGGCUGUGCUGUGCCUGCUACAUGAUUGAUUGUAGCGCUGUCCUGUUGCGCGCCGAGGGACUUUGAAAGACGACCGCUUAUCCAACCCCUUGGAUAAGCGAUUGAGAGUAGUACUCCCAGUACUUUAGAGAGUUUUACCAGGUCUACAGUAGUACUUCAGAGGGUAGAACUGUAGCACUGUACUGUAAUCGUACUGGCACUACUCUUAGUUUAGUAUGUAAUGCGGCCCCAUUGUUUUUAAUCCGUACUUCCACCUCUCCUGUUUAGCAGCCGAGACAAACGCUUACUUUACAAAGCGUUGGGCCAAAGCCUCUUGUACGAGAGGUACUACAUCCUGUUGAGCGGGUCACAUCCUGUCUCGUGUCCCGCCCCUUGCUACCCCUACCUUUGGUAACGCGUAGUGUUUACUCUGAAAGGGCAUUUAACUCGGUUCUACCAUGACAGUCCAGCUUCAUUCGCACCGGUCACUGUCCGCAACAAUAGC
ensembl:lncRNA